CAGGUGCUUCUUCCUGGUCUCCCGCGUGGGUGCAGGUGCCCAAGCACUUGGGCCAUCCUCCACUGUACUCCCGGGCCACAGCAGAGAGCUGGACUGGAAGAGGAGCGACCGGGACUAGAACCCAGCACCCAUAUGGGAUGCCGGCGCCACAGGCGGAGGAUUAACCAAGUGAGCUAUGGCGCCGGCCCCACAACGGGAACAUUUUCACUUCCAUCAUUCUCAUUUCUACUUUUCAGCUCUCACACAGCCAGUAAAACCCCUGAAAAUCAGUCUCCAAGAAUCAGAGAGUGGAGGUGUUCCCCACUUCCAGAACCAUUUUGCAGUUCUUUGUAUUAUUGCUCAGCUCCUGUCACUAAAAUAGAGGGUGGGUACAUUCUAGAAUAGAGAUUGCAUGCCUCGAAAACUCACAAACCUUCAAACUAAUUUCCCAUAGAUACCUACGUCUUGACAUGACCUGGUUGAGCUUAGCUGGGGGAAAGAGUUGCAAAAAAAUAUUUGAGUAUAUGGACUUUUUUUUUCUUUAGUAGGAAAAUAUAACCAGCUCAGCUGAUCUGCAGCUGUACCUGACCUGCGGAAUCUCUUGCUUUAUAAGAUCCUCUUACAUGUAAAAGACAAGCAGUGCAUUGUACGGUUUGCAUUGAAACGUGAUCAUCAGGAAAAAGAGAUUCUUUAAAAUAUAAAGCUCAGAUCAGGAAUACAUUGUAUAUGCAAAUAAGCUGAUUUAGAUGCAGAGGAUGAAUUCUAACAGUGGGACAACUAAAGAAAUUAAGGCUUAUGCUUUUCCUGAGUGCCCAGUAAUUCUGAAUUACAAUUGAGUACCUAUAGAAAGAAGUGUGACAUCCAAAUGGGUACAAAUGGAUAGAUUACGCUCCGUGAUGCUUCACUGCACUCUAAAUGAGUUCAGCAGGAUGACACACCGAGAGAUGCUGAAGUGCCUCAGAGACACGCAGUCAGAGGCGUGUGCUUAAAUAAAACUCCCUGCAAUCUUCUGCACAUAAAGUGGGUUUUUCCUAUUCAGUAGGAAAGUAGAGCAAUGUGUUUUGUCCUUAUAUAGUCUCAUUGCAAAAUAAGAGUUUAUUAAACUUGCUUUGGUUUUUAGAGAAACUCUUGCAAUUUGAAAGUUACCUUGUAAUGCUUUUGGACUCUACUUCGCCAAGCUUGCCAUCUUGGUGAGCCCUAGAGCAUUUCUCUGUUUACUAUGAGAAGCAGUAGUGACCUAUACGAGGAACUCAGGGUGCCAUACUCUGGGCUAGCAAUGGGCUUUCCAGGAAACUGGAGAUUUGGUGUGUUCUGAUUAGCAUCUAAUUUAUUCCUAACAUCUAAUCAGAUAUUCUGGCUGAUAUUUUCCUCUCCGUAUUUAUAUAAGAAAUAUUGAAUGUUAUAUAGUUAUACUACAAUAAAAUACACUCAUGUUCAAAGAUCCCACUCCUUUUGGACAAGUCUGAGUUCAAAUUAUGAGCAAAUUAAAGAAUAAACUGAAAAAAUAGGCCCUCUGAGGAUAAUUUCCCUAGGGUAGAAGUUACUGUCUUCUCACUGUAGCUUGAAAGAGCAGACGCCUGAGCCAAGGGCUCCUGGUGAGUCACAACCCGACCUCUGCAGCUAUAAAAGAUGUGAUAGAGCAGAGAGGCCUGGAAAGGGAGCUGAUUCCUGAGGUCGGGUAAUGGGCUCUCGAGGCACGUUCAUGUCUGUAUUUUCAUUAAGGAAUCAAAUCCAAUACAUUCAUAAAACACUAAUUACGAUUGUGGAAAUCAUUUGCUACGAAGCUUUGAUGAAGUCACAACCUCUCUAAACCUCAGUUGUUGAGCUCUAAGAUGGGUUUAGGGCAAUUGAAGAUUUAGUAAAACACUUAACAAAGUAGGUGGUACAAAAGUUACUUCGCCAGUUAAUGGUUGUUGUUAUUCGUCACCUGGGAUUCCCGAGGGCCCAGCGCUCCCAGACCCAGCUCUCUAGACUUACUCCACAUCAGAUGCCUUAAAUUGUGGCUCCUCCAUGCUUCCCUACCACUCGCUUAUCCUAUAUCCUCAACACAUCAGCCUGCUGCUGUCCCCCUUCCUUCCAUGAUCAAAUCCUCUGCCCCAGGAUCUCUCUGCUCACUGCUCUCUUUUUCUCUGUUAUUUGAGAGACAUAGAGAGGGAGAGAGAGAAAUGAACAGAGCUCCCAUAACUCUGCAAAUGCUUGCAAGGGCCAGGGCUGAGCCAGGUGAAAACCUGGCGCCAGGAACUCUAAAUCUAAUCUACCUACCAUGUGGGUGGUAGAGACCCAGUCCACUUGAGCCUUGACCAUUUCUGCCUCCCAAAGUCUUCCUUAGUCGGAAGCUAGGGUUGGGAGUGGAGCCAGGAGUGAGACCUGGCUACUCCAGUAUGGGAUACAGGCAUCUUAACUGCAUGACAAACACCUGAGCCUCACUUGUUCUUGAUCUUCAAGUGGGUGACCAUUUAUACACUUUGCUCUUAAAUACCUCCUCCUUUUACGCCUUUCCUAACUGAUUAUGAAAUUACAUGAACAUUUUCUAUCAAAUCUCCCUAUUUUAAUUGUCUUUUAACUGCUAUCAUAUCUCAUAUUUUCUUAUUUGUUGUAUUGAUUGAUUUUCUUCACCACUAGAGUGUAAACUCCAUGACAGCAGGCCUUGGUCAGUCUUUUUCACUUCUGUGUUUUUUCUGCCUGCUCUGGUGACUGGACAUGCUAGAUGUGCAGUAAAUAUUUAUUGGAUGAAUAGAUUUGUGAUGUAAGCUGGCCGUGGGUUACAUGUACAUUGUCUAAUUGUGAGAAAGUCCCCUCUGUGCAGGCAUCAAUCCCUUACCCAUUUAUAUUGUGGAUUUCAGAUUUCCAGGAUUUUAUGCGGAUCUUAUUCUCACAGUUGAAAGUUUACUUCCAAAAUUCUCUUUUCCUCCUCCUCUUCCUUCUUUUUCUUCUUUUUGCUUAGUGACUAUGACCAGAUUGACUUUAGAAUGUCAAGAGACCCAAUUUAAGUUUUCCCACUUAGUGUUACUAUAGAAUAUAGGCAGCUUGGGAUUCUAGUCAACAAGGAAUAAAUUUAAAAUACGACAUUUGUGACUUCAGGUUUCUGUGCAAGGAUCUUAACAAAAGUGUUCAACUAUAAAUUGCUUCAAGUCCACUGAAACAGGCAGCACCAUUUAAUAUACAGAGAAAAACCAUUUCAGCAGACCUCUGAUGACGACUACUCAGAGAAACUAGGCUCCUUACCAACUCACUGACUACAAUCUCUGACCGUGGUAGUAGGAAUCUGGUGAAAUUCCAAAACCAAAUAAGGAUUUACUUGCCUAGUGUUUUAUUUUCUACAUGUCAACUCUCGGCUUCUGAGAACUUCCAAUUUAGAUAAAGUCACAUUGAAUAUAAAUUAAGAAAUAUCCCAUGUUUGUCAGUGAGGAAAAGCAAUUUCUUUCCUACUCUUACCCUUGAGUAAAGUUGGGUCGUCUGCCCUGACAUGCCCUCUGUUUUCAGCCUCUCUAUAAUCCCUGAGGAGUUGACCUUCAGGGUUGACCUUCAGGGUCAAAGACUGUUCCUUUCCUCUUCUAUCCUCUUUCAUCGCUCUUGACAUUUAAAUCCUUCUGCCUUUGAUUGCGCUUCUACUGUGCAGUGUGGAGACACGGUAACUUUCAGAACUUUUAUGGAGCUGGAACGUUUCAGUGACGUCUUCCCUGAUGCCCCCCGCCCCCCCCCUUUUUUUUGUUCUGAUGUGAAACUGCUGAAAUCCAAGAGCAGAGAAGUUCCACUCUUUCCCAGAAGCGCUGUUUUGGGGCCCCUAAUUCUCCAGCCCCAUCAAUACAGGGCAGAGAUGCCGCUUUGCAUUCCUCAAACUUCACCUGCUGAAGGAAAAAAUUCUCACCAACUAGAGGAGCAGGAGGGUGAGGCAGAACCCUGAAAUCAACUCAAAUCAACUGAAAUCAAAUCAAAUUUCUACAGGGAUACAUAUGCAUAUUCAAGUAAAUGGAAGGUAUCAACUAUAAAUGUCCUCCUCAUGUCAGACUUUUGUAUUAUAUAUUUUUCUUAGUGACAAUCUGUCAGUUUGUGGAAAACUGAGUAUAAAGAGUUGUGAGCAA